AUACAUACCUGGCAGGGGAGGUACCAUGAUCACAAAGGUGGUUUUCCCAAGGUGAGGCUUAUCCACUGCACUCUGGAUGUGCUGACCCCUGCAAUUUCCCCAAAUGUGGGAAACUCGAUUGAGUAAUUUGUGGUAGUGUGGGAGUGUGUUCGUGCUGUCUCCUU
ensembl:snRNA U1 U1 spliceosomal RNA